AUUGAACGCUGGCGGCAGGCUUAACACAUGCAAGUCGAGCGGGGGAAGGUAGCUUGCUACCGGACCUAGCGGCGGACGGGUGAGUAAUGCUUAGGAAUCUGCCUAUUAGUGGGGGACAACAUCUCGAAAGGGAUGCUAAUACCGCAUACGUCCUACGGGAGAAAGCAGGGGAUCUUCGGACCUUGCGCUAAUAGAUGAGCCUAAGUCGGAUUAGCUAGUUGGUGGGGUAAAGGCCUACCAAGGCGACGAUCUGUAGCGGGUCUGAGAGGAUGAUCCGCUACACUGGGACUGAGACACGGCCCAGACUCCUACGGGAGGCAGCAGUGGGGAAUAUUGGACAAUGGGGGGAACCCUGAUCCAGCCAUGCCGCGUGUGUGAAGAAGGCCUUAUGGUUGUAAAGCACUUUAAGCGAGGAGGAGGCUACUUUAGUUAAUACCUAGAGAUAGUGGACGUUACUCGCAGAAUAAGCACCGGCUGACUCUGUGCCAGCCGCCGCAGUAA
rnacentral:rRNA from 1 species